UCUCCGCGAAUGCUCGAAGUGCUGUUGUUCGGCAUCAAACAGUUGCAUGACAGCUGAGUGGAAACAAUGCCCAAACGAAAGUGCAAAUUUACAGAAGAUUUUCUGCGAAGCAUAAAGGGUCAGCAAAAGGUGAAAGUUCAUCAGGUAAAUUAACGGACUACCUUUUACGACCAGGGGGCGUAUAGAUGGCGCGUGAACUCUCAGCUCGCCCCUCCCCUCAGAUGAUGAUGAGGUACACCUGAAAAAGCUGUGAACCCAUCUACGUUUCUCCUGACUAUUAUAUCUGCAGUAAUGGCAUGGGGCAAAGAUGCAACCGAAGAGAGGAUCAAACAACACGCUUCGGAGCACCUUAAGCAUGCACCAGUGAGAAAGGGAGGCGGGGGGACACACUCAAUGAACUUUAAAUAAUUUUUUUUUCUUUAAAAUUGUGAUAGACUUAUGAGUUAUUUGUUAUUUCUGUUUAAAGUGAUUGGUUUAAUUGUUCUCUACUGCACUUUCACUUUUAUUUUCCUGAUUUUUGGAAAGAGUCUGUACAGUUGCUUUGCAACUACAAAUGAAAAUUGGAAUUAAAGUGAGUUUU